GGAGAGGUCGCAUAGUUGGCUUAGUGCGCUGGUUUGCUAAAUCAGUGUGGGGCUUAUAACUCCACCGAGGGUUCGAAUCCCUCCCUCUCCG
rnacentral:tRNA from 1 species